UUAGAAGAAAGUUUCAAGCAUACUAGUUAUACAUUUAUUUAUUAGUAACUUUUUACCUCAUCAUUAAAAAUAAUGUAGUAGCAUAUAUGUGCAAUCCUGGCAUAAGUGUGUUAUCCACAUUGAGGACUUGUUUGUUAGUUCAUUGGUUACUAUUGUUCUUCUUGUUGUUGUGUCUUUGGCAUCCUCCUCUUUCAUUCUCUUUGAAAAUUUAAG
rnacentral:misc_RNA from 1 species